rnacentral:rRNA from 1 species
CCGAUGCCCGCCGCGCCCCGCGCCCGUCCCGCCGCCCCCGCCCGCUCCUACGGGAGGCAGCAGUGAGGAAUAUUGGUCAAUGGGCUUACGCCUGAACCAGCCAAGUCGCGUGAGGGAAGACUGCCCUAUGGGUUGUAAACCUCUUUUGUCAGGGAGCAAUUGGCGCUACGUGUAGCGUUAUCGAGAGUACCUGAAGAAAAAGCAUCGGCUAACUCCGUGCCAGCAGCCGCGGUAAUACAAUCCAUAUGACUAG